CCUACGAGGAGCAGCAGUGGGGAAUAUUGCACAAUGGGGGGAACCCUGAUGCAGCAACGCCGCGUGAGUGAAGCAGUAUUUCGGUAUGUAAAGCUCUAUCAGCAGGGAAGAAGAUGACGGUACCUGAGUAAGAAGCCCCGGCUAACUACGUGCCAGCAGCCGCGGUAAUACGUAGGGGGCAAGCGUUAUCCGGAUUUACUGGGUGGAAAGGGAGCGUAGACGGCGAGGCAAGUCUGGAGUGAAAGCCCGGGGCGCAACCCCGGGACUGCUUUGGAAACUGCCUGGUUGGAGUGCUGGAGAGGCAAGCGGAAUUCCUGGUGUAGCGGUGAAAUGCGUAGAUAUUAGGAAGAACACCAGUGGCGAAGGCGGCUUGCUGGACAGUAACUGACGUUGAGGCUCGAAAGCGUGGGGAGCAAACAGGAUUAGAUACCCUAGUAGUC
rnacentral:rRNA from 1 species